UACGAAGGGGGCUAGCGUUGCUCGGAAUCACUGGGCGUAAAGCGCACGUAGGCGGACUCUUAAGUCAGGGGUGAAAUCCUGGAGCUCAACUCCAGAACUGCCCUUGAUACUGGGAGCCUUGAGUUCGGGAGAGGUGAGUGGAACUGCGAGUGUAGAGGUGAAAUUCGUAGAUAUUCGCAAGAACACCAGUGGCGAAGGCGGCUCACUGGCCCGAUACUGACGCUGAGGUGCGAAAGCGUGGGGAGCAAACAGG
rnacentral:rRNA from 1 species